rnacentral:sRNA from 1 species
UAUGAGGGCUACGCUUUGCCCCAUGCCAUCAUGCGUCUGGAUCUGGCUGGUAGGGACCUCACUGACUACCUCAUGAAGAUCCUCACUGAGCGUGGCUACUCCUUUGUCACCACUGCUGAACGUGAAAUUGUCCGUGACAUUAAAGAGAAGCUGUGCUAUGUCGCCCUGGAUUUUGAGAAUGAGAUGGCCACAGCUGCCUCUUCCUCCUCCCUGGAGAAGAGCUAUGAACUGCCUGAUGGCCAAGUCAUCACUAUUGGCAAUGAGCGCUUCCGCUGUCCCGAGACGCUCUUCCAGCCCUCCUUCAUUGGUGAGUUGUAGGGUCUGGUGCAGAGGCACGAUUUUCCCUGGAAAUCUUAGGGUCUCCCAGAGUAAAAUCUAGAAGGCUCAAGAAGCCCUUGAGUUAAAAGAAGUCAUAGUUUGGAUUGCCACACAGCUCAACCUCAAGUCCGGAUGGCUCUUUAAAGGGAAAGUCUAUGUUCUGUUCUAGUGAUAUAAUAAAGGAUGACACACUGAGUUCAUCUCAAAAUAAAGGAUGACACAGAGUAGUAACUGAAUAUCACGUAUCUGCAGGAAAAGGGCUAUUUCAAAGAGCUGACUUAUUCCAGUAAGUUUCACUACCAAGUAGCUGGAUUUUCCAAGUUACUCAUCAUUAAAUGCAGUAACAUUCCUACUCAUAUUAAUAACUGGGCACUUAU